AAUUUUGGCUUUUUGGCACUGUAUAUGCCCCCAAGGUAGAUCUUCUUCAGUUUGUUCCAGAGGUAGCGACCCCGUUCCUCGACCCGGCCCCGAGCGAUCCGGGUUCUCGCCUUCUUGUUCUUGGCAACAUUCAGAGGCAGCCCGCGCGCGGUCCGCCUGGCGUCCCGGCGCUGCCUCCGUCCAGCAAGCUCAGUUUGGUGUCUGCGGAUGCAGUCCGUGGAGCAGAAAAAGGAGGCGUUCCCGUGUCCGUGUGGCUCGAAGCGCCGGUAGCCGCACCGCAAGCACGUCCCCGGCUUCUCCGUCAGCACCGGGAGCAGCUGGUGCUCGCCGUCGCCGUCCUCGUGCACCGUGUCGUCACGGAUGACCAGGUGCCGCGACGGGAUGUGGUGGGGCCCAGCAGCAGCGAGGGCAGAAGGCGUGGGAGCAAUCGCUGCAGAAGCUGUCCCUCUGGCAGGUCUGCCGUCUGCGACAGAUCCGCCACUUGGAGCUCCUGCCUGGCGGACACCAGGAUGUCCACGGCCUCAGAGCCAGAACUCCCCGCGCCGCCGCUUCCGGCUCCUGCACCGCUUCGCCAUGCUCUGGCGCCAGCGCGCCGCCGCUUCCGGCUUCUGCACCGCGUGUCAAGCUCCGGCGAAGCCGCAGACCUCAACCCCAUCGAUUGCGGUUUGAGGCUGAGGCAACCGUGGAGCAUGGAGAGAGAGGAGGUCGCGUGCAAGGAUCAUCAUGUGCUGUUAUCCAACAUCAAGAUAUGCGCGAGAGAGAAGAGGGAGGCAGGCGCAUCACAAAUGAAGAUGGAGGAUACAAAAUGCUAGAAGAGCAACUUGUGAGCAAGGGGCAGCCAACGACAAGAAUGAUCUGCCCACCACAAGUUUAGUAUGAGUACGAGGCACACCAGGACAGCCUACGACGAGUCCGACACGUCUAAGGGGCGCCCGGACCUGCGAGUCCUAGUUUAAGCCAAGUCCUAUUCGGAUUGGUUGUAUAUGUUUGAGUCGAACCUAGUUUGAGUCUGAGUCCAUUUGUGUGUUUGGCUGUCCCUCGCCUAUAUAUACAAGGGGUACGGCUAGGGUUAGAGUUAGAUCACGUUUUAGCUUAUUCAGAACCUUUUGUUGAAUUGCUCCAAGCAUUUAUCUGAAAGUAUAUAAUUUCUCUUUGUUUCGAUCA